UACGUAGGGUGCGAGCGUUGUCCGGAAUUAUUGGGCGUAAAGGGCUCGUAGGCGGUUUGUCGCGUCGGGAGUGAAAUCCACUGGCUUAACUGGUGGCUUGCUUUCGAUACGGGCAGACUGGAGGUAUGCAGGGGAGAACGGAAUUCCUGGUGUAGCGGUGAAAUGCGCAGAUAUCAGGAGGAACACCGGUGGCGAAGGCGGCAUCCUGGACCAACACUGACGCUGAGGAGCGAAAGCCAGGGAGCAAACGGG
rnacentral:rRNA from 1 species